rnacentral:rRNA from 1 species
GAUGAACGCUGGCGGCGUGCCUAAUACAUGCAAGUCGAGCGAACGGACGAGAAGCUUGCUUUUCUGAUGUUAGCGGCGGACGGGUGAGUAACACGUGGAUAACCUACCUAUAAGACUGGGAUAACUUCGGGAAACCGGAGCUAAUACCGGAUAAUAUUUUGAACCGCAUGGUUCAAAAGUGAAAGACGGUCUUGCGGUCACUUAUAGAUGGAUCCGCGCUGCAUUAGCUAGUUGGUAAGGUAACGGCUUACCAAGGCAACGAUGCAUGGCCGACCUGAGAGGGUGAUCGGCCACACUGGAACUGCGACACGGUCCAGACUCCUACGGGAGGCAGCAGUAGGGAAUCUUCCGCAAUGGGCGAAAGCCUGACGGAGCAACGCCGCGUCAGUGAUGAAGGUCUUCGGAUCGUAAAACUCUGUUAUUAGGGAAGAACAUAUGUGUAAGUAACUGUGCACAUCUUGACGGUACCUAAUCAGAAAGCCACGGCUAACUACGUG